GUAGUCCACGCCGUAAACGUUGGGCGCUAGGUGUGGGGGCCAUUCCACGGUCUCCGUGCCGCAGCUAACGCAUUAAGCGCCCCGCCUGGGGAGUACGGCCGCAAGGCUAAAACUCAAAGGAAUUGACGGGGGCCCGCACAAGCGGCGGAGCAUGUUGCUUAAUUCGAUGCAACGCGAAGAACCUUACCUAGGCUUGACAUGUGCGGAAAUCCUCCAGAGAUGGUGGGUCCGUAAGGGUCGCACACAGGUGGUGCAUGGUUGUCGUCAGCUCGUGUCGUGAGAUGUUGGGUUAAGUCCCGCAACGAGCGCAACCCUCGUUCCAUGUUGCCAGCACGUAAUGGUGGGGACUCAUGGGAGACUGCCGGGGUCAACUCGGA
rnacentral:rRNA from 1 species